rnacentral:rRNA from 1 species
AGUGAACGCUGGCGGUAGGCCUAACACAUGCAAGUCGAACGGCAGCACAGUAAGAGCUUGCUCUUACGGGUGGCGAGUGGCGGACGGGUGAGGAAUACAUCGGAAUCUACUUUUUCGUGGGGGAUAACGUAGGGAAACUUACGCUAAUACCGCAUACGACCUACGGGUGAAAGCAGGGGAUCUUCGGACCUUGCGCGAUUGAAUGAGCCGAUGUCGGAUUAGCUAGUUGGCGGGGUAAAGGCCCACCAAGGCGACGAUCCGUAGCUGGUCUGAGAGGAUGAUCAGCCACACUGGAACUGAGACACGGUCCAGACUCCUACGGGAGGCAGCAGUGGGGAAUAUUGGACAAUGGGCGCAAGCCUGAUCCAGCUAUACCGCGUGGGUGAAGAAGGCCUUCGGGUCGUAAAGCCCUUUUGUUGGGAAAGAAAAGCAGCAGGUUAAUACCCCGCUGUUCUGACGGUACCCAAAGAAUAAGCACCGGCUAACUUCGUG